UGGAAGUAAAAGUCGUAACAAGGUUUCCGUAGGUGAA
rnacentral:rRNA from 1 species